GGGAAGGUGGGAUGGAUUGCAGAACCUGGAGAUUCUUGUCAAACUGCUUGCCUCUUGCCUCCAUCCCACAG
ensembl:miRNA Mir6963 microRNA 6963